AUACGUAGGGGGCGAGCGUUGUCCGGAAUUAUUGGGCGUAAAGGGCGCGUAGGCGGUGACACAAGUCAGGUGAUAAAGGCACGGGCUCAACCGGUGUUAGGCACUUGAUACUGUGUUGCUAGAGUGCAGGAGAGGGGAGUGGAAUUCCAGGUGUAGCGGUGAAAUGCGUAGAUAUCUGGAAGAACACCAGUGGCGAAGGCGACUCUCUGGACUGCAACUGACGCUGAGGCGCGAAAGCUGGGGGGGCAAACAGGAUUAGAUACCCUGGUAGUUCCAGCCGUAAACGAUGAACACUAGGUGUAGGGGGUAUCGACCCCCCCUGUGCCGGAGCUAACGCAAUAAGUGUUCCGCCUGGGGAGUACGGCCGCAAGGUUGAA
rnacentral:rRNA from 1 species